rnacentral:rRNA from 1 species
UACGUAGGGACCGAGCGUUGUCCGGAAUCAUUGGGCGUAAAGAGUGUGUAGGCGGUGUUCCAAGUCUGGUGUGAAAUCUCCCGGCUUAACUGGGAGGGUGCAUUAGAAACUGGAAUGCUAGAGGAUGGGAGAGGUAAGCGGAAUUCCUGGUGUAGCGGUGAAAUGCGUAGAUAUCAGGAGGAACACCUGUGGUGUAGACAGCUUACUGGACCAUUUCUGACGCUGAGACACGAAAGCGUGGGUAGCAAACAGG